ACAUGCAAGUCGAGCGGAUGAGUGGAGCUUGCUCCAUGAUUCAGCGGCGGACGGGUGAGUAAUGCCUAGGAAUCUGCCUAGUGGUGGGGGAUAACGUUCGGAAACGGACGCUAAUACCGCAUACGUCCUACGGGNGAAACGGGGGAUCUUCGGACCUCGCGCCAUUAGAUGAGCCUAGGUCGGAUUAGCUAGUUGGUGAGGUAAUGGCUCACCAAGGCGACGAUCCGUAACUGGUCUGAGAGGAUGAUCAGUCACACUGGAACUGAGACACGGUCCAGACUCCUACGGGAGGCAGCAGUGGGGAAUAUUGGACAAUGGGCGAAAGCCUGAUCCAGCCAUGCCGCGUGUGUGAAGAAGGUCUUCGGAUUGUAAAGCACUUUAAGUUGGGAGGAAGGGUAGUAACCUAAUACGUUGCUACUUUGACGUUACCGACAGAAUAAGCACCGGCUAACUUCGUG
rnacentral:rRNA from 1 species